rnacentral:piRNA from 1 species
CCAGAGCUGUAACACAAGAGAAAU